AUCCUGGCCAUCUCCCCCGCCGGAAACGGGAACGGCGGCAGCGACGGCGGAGGGACACCGAGCACCAGGGCCGUCCGGGAGAAGCGCCACGAUAAUCCGGAUCGGGACUUGGGUCCCUGGGUUCCAGGUCACAGUGGGGGUUGGAAUCAAAACUGACCUUUUCCAGUCCUGUGGCCACUGCUGAGUUUUCCAAAUUUGCUGGUGUAUUGAGUGCAGCACUUUCACAGCACCAUCUCUUAGGAUUUGAAGUAGCUCAACUGGAAUUCCAUCACCUCCACUAAUUUUGUUCGUAGUGAUGCUUCCUAAGGCCCACUUGAGUUCACAUCCAGGAUGUCUGACUCUAGGUGGUACAGUGGUAAAGAAUCCACUUGAGAAGCAGGAGGCCUGGUUUCGAUCCCUGGAUUGGGAAGAUCCCCUGGAGAAGGAGACAGCAACCCACUCUAGUAUUCCCAGCAGCCCACGGGAUUGCCUGGGAAAUCCCGUGAACAGAGGAGCCUGGCAGGCCUACAGUCCAUGGAGUCGCAAAAAGUCAGACAUGACUUAGCGACUAAACAAUAUGUAUCUUUUGAUUACUAGCUUCUAAUUUAAUUCCAUUAUGGUCAAAUAACAUGCUCACUAUGAUUUCCAUAUACAUAAAUUUAUUCAAUCUUAUCUUGUGGUUAAAUAUAUGGCCUAUCUUACUGAUUACUCUAGUCAGCUUAAAAAAUAUGUAUUCUUCUGUUGUUGAGGGUAGUGUUCUUUAAUAAGAAAAUAGUGUUCUAUAGGUGACAACAGGUCAGUUAAAUUUUCUUAUAGUUCUAUAUGCUUACAUAUCUGCUACUUAAUCAGUUACAGAGCUGAGUGAAAUCUACUGCAAUUGUGGAUUUUUCAUUUCUUUUUUAAUUCUACCAACUUUUGCUUCAUGUAUUUUGAAAUGCUGUUUUUAUUGCCUACACAUUGAGAAAUUAAAUCUUCCUGAUGAGUUUAACCCCCACUCUUUUUCGUCAUACUGAGUUUUUCUCCCGGCUAGUGAGGUUGUAUUUUCACCUUCUCUUGUCUAGUAAUUUUGACUAGAAGUUGAGUAUUUUGAAUGUUAUGGUUCUGAAUAUUUUGAUUUUUUUAAAAAACAUUUAUUUAUUUGGCUGUACUGGAUCUUAGUUGCAGCAUGGGGUAUCUAGUUCCCUGAACAGGUAUCAAGCCAGGGCUCAUUGCACUGGGAGCACAGAAUCUUAGCCACAAGACCACCAGGGAAGUCCCUUGAAUAUUUGGACACUUUUAUCUCAUUUAAUGAGUAUUAAGUUUGCUUGUCAGGCAAUUUAGUUACUUGGGGAUCAUCUUGAUCAUAUCAAGACCUACUUGUAAGCUUUGUUAUGGUAGAUUUAAAGUAACUUUUAUUGUAGUGCUUAUUUAAACCCAACUGAUAAGGCAUAACGCUUUUGGUUCUCUAUUGCAUGCCACAGGUUUUUUUUUUUUUUAUGUUUUCUUCACUCUAGUUAGUAGGAGAUCAAUUGUCUCUUAGCCCUGUGUGAGCUCUAAGAUUUGUUUAGCUCAUAGAUCCUAGUUGUUGUUCUUUACCCAGCCUCGAAUAGUUUCAUUUUACAUACGUUUAGAUUAUUAUUCUGCCAAAUAAUCAAGGAAAUCCCUAGGCAGAGUUUCAGAUCUCCUUCUUUACAUAUCCCCCUUCUCUUUGGUGUUUCACCCCAUAAAUUGCAGCCACCUCAGUCUUCCAAGUCCUUAUUUCUGGAUUCCUGGCUCAUCAACACAGUGAGAUCUCCCAGUGAUGUAUGGAUUUCUUCUCCUGAUACUAUUGUCCAGAAGUUGCCCCCAAAGGAAUGCUGCCACAGUCAAAAGCUAUACCUUAUUGGUUUCCUUUCUGAAAGAAAGGCUGAAAAUAAAUGGCUUUGGA